rnacentral:rRNA from 1 species
AUUGAACGCUGGCGGCAGGCCUAACACAUGCAAGUCGAGCGGGGUUUUCGGACCUAGCGGCGGACGGGUGAGUAAUGCGUAGGAAGCUACCCGAUAGAGGGGGAUACCAGUUGGAAACGACUGUUAAUACCGCAUAAUGUCUACGGACCAAAGUGUGGGACCUUCGGGCCACAUGCUAUCGGAUGCGCCUACGUGGGAUUAGCUAGUUGGUGAGGUAAUGGCUCACCAAGGCGACGAUCCGUAACUGGUCUGAGAGGAUGAUCAGUCACACUGGAACUGAGACACGGUCCAGACUCCUACGGGAGGCAGCAGUGGGGAAUAUUGGACAAUGGGCGAAAGCCUGAUCCAGCAAUGCCGCGUGCAGGAUGAAGGGCCUUCGGUUGUAACUAGCUUUGUUACGGUAACGAAACGGUA